GGAGAGGAUUUUGCGUCUCCAAAGACGCCCCUCUUCCGAAAACAGGCUCCUCUGUGUUCUCAGUCGGGUAUAUUUUUCUGUCUCCAAACUAGAUUGGCAGCCGUUUUUUGAGAGCAGGGUCUUGCUCUGUUGCCCAGACUGGAGUGCAGUGGCGCCAUCUCAGCUGACUGCAGAUUCAACCUUCUGAGCUCACGAAAUCCUCCCAUCUCAACCUCCUGAGUAGCUGGGACCACAGAGUAAGUUUCAUCGUGGAUUAUGGUUAAAGACAAGUGCUGAUUUGGUUUUCCUACCUGAUCACGAGGCCACUCGAUAGAACUAGUAAGCUAUGCCUUGGGCCUGCAGGAUGGCACCUGACUUGAAGAUAGCACCUGACUUGAAGAUGGCACCUGACUAGCAUUUGGACUGGUUUGCAGGCUGAGCACAGGGUUGCUCCAGGUGGGCCCAAAUGCUGAAGAGCCUCAUGUUAGAGUUUUUCACCUCUGCGAUGGAACUGUGGUGGACUCCAGUAUCAUCAUUCCAGGGAGGCAUAGCCGCACCAACUGUGUUCCCAGGUUUCACAUGGAGAAGGGUUUUAGAAAGUGCAGAUAGCCUUGAAACCAUUGGUUUCCUACCACUGUUUAUUUCAGCAUAACUUUUUUUGUGUGGAAUGCUAGCUCUGGAAGAGCAGAAAUAAAUACAGCUUAAGCUUUGAACCAUAUCCUGCUGUACUUUUUCUCAUAAGCUGGAAAUAGAAUUUUCUAACACCGUUUGUGGUUGGAAAUACUGAAUUUAAAUGGGACUGCAGAUAUAAACAAAAAGAACAAGAUGUGGAUUGAUGUGCCUAUUUCAGUAAAACACAGCCACAUUAUUUCUGAAAUAUGGAUACUAAAGAUGACAAGUAGAAAAAAAAUUGGAGAUGUGCACAGUUG
rnacentral:lncRNA from 10 species